GACUUCCUCCAAAGAUAGAGACACCAUCACCGUCCGAUAUCGUUCUCCACCCGAAAUGCCGUGGAGAGCUCCGCACCA
rnacentral:sRNA from 1 species